AAUAAAAAGGAGAAAAAUGUUGAAAUCGCAGGCAAGGUGAACGCACGCGGGCGAAAGGUGCUGGAGGGCCACGAAACGACGAGAUCGAGAAGUUUAUCGGGUCAGCCAGACAUCCUCAAGAAGCACGCGAUUCGAAAAAUGUAUGCAGGGAUUUAGGGUGCAGAGUCGAUUUGAAGAACGCCGAGAUCUUAGAGGCACAUCGUGUGUUACAUAAAUUAUUAUCGGAUUCUUUUCGCGUAACUAUUACGCCAUGGAUCACGCCGCAGAAUACCGAUAUCGAUAACGGUCUAUUCGGGGGAAAAAGAGAGCAUCAGAAGGGAGGCCUCGGGCGUUUGGGUCCGUUGGAUUCCGAUUAUGGUUGGGCGCUAAAGUUUGUAAGAAGCCGAAGGGAAGUCCCCUUCCUGUUCGUAAUGAAUCGAAAUAAUUGGCCGAGCGUCGUCAUGCUUGCUGCGCGUUUUGUAACGAGCACGUGCAAAGAGGAAAUGAGUAAAUAUUCUGUCGAAAGGGUCGUCGGCAAUUUGUCUUGCUCCAGCGACUACCAUCGAGGGUUUAUCAGCGAAGAAUCAUCGAUAACAGAACGAAUAAUUCUCUUUUUUAAUUACGACCGGUCGUGGCAUGUAUUCGGGCGAGGUUUGAGCACGUUCUCACGAAGGGGUUUUCUCAUAGCACCCGGAUAUUCUCAUCGUCGUUGGACUAAUUAACACGACCCUGAAAUUGCUGGAUGGCGAUUAAAAAGUUUCGAGAUUCCGUGGUGAUUUCUCGAAUCGGCUCGUCUCGUAGUGACGCUUUAAUUGUCGUGAUUUAUGCUCGUUUGAUUAAGAGGAAAGGCAUCGCGUCAAGUGUUUCGAUCGAGAUUUCCGUAAUCGAGUCACCAAAUUGCUAAUGAAGAAGCUGCUGCUCGUUUCUCCCGCGUCCUCCUUUCGGAAACAGGUUUCUCUACUUUUGCGAACAACGAGUGCGUUCAGAGAUCGUCAUAUCUUCCGCAGACGCAAUUAUACGGGCGAGAAGCGGACGAAGAACCGCGAAAUUGUUACGCUAAAGCUCGAUAUCCUUGAAGCACACGAAGUCACGGAUGCAUGGGAAAAGAGGCAGGCGUGCGUGGAUGCGGAAAAUUAAUUCGACGGAUGUGACGUCAUGGAUCGGUACUCGCGUUUCCUGUACGAGUCUUCUGAGAAACCUGUGCGUUUCAGUAAAGACCCCCUUAUACGCCCACGUCGAGCAAAUGGGGUGCGAGAAGGAAAAGUCCGGUUAUCAGCUUGUUCCGUGUGAAAUGAUCGGCUCGGAAGCAGCUUCCGCGAACCAGUUUGGCGCCGGUUCAGCUAGUGAUAAUUCUUGCGUGUUCUGACCUCGAGCCUCGGGGGCCAGUCCGAAAAGUUUACACGGAACUUCAGGGAGCAGAGGAUCAACGAAUGAAAUCCUCGAAGUGGAUAAGAACGUUUCCUUUCGUCGGGAUAAUCCUUAUCGAACAAAAGGAAGGAUGCACCGAAAACUGGUUGUGCCGGAUAAAGGAAGAGGAGGGUACAUGUCGAAGAUAAUGAGAAAAAAGUCACGUCGAAGGGGAACGAUCUAUGCGAGUGGCUGUUGGACCACGAGAUGGACGGAUCGCAGAUUACCUUGCAUUUCAAAUUCACUUUGCGAAACGCGUUCCCUUGCCUCUGUAAUAAAUUACGAUCGUAAUCGUUGUA